GACGUCGCGAGAAGUCCACU
rnacentral:siRNA from 1 species